ACGAAGGGUGCAAGCGUUAAUCGGAAUUACUGGGCGUAAAGGGUGCGUAGGCGGUUGUUUAAGUCUGUCGUGAAAUCCCCGGGCUCAACCUGGGAAUGGCGAUGGAUACUGGGCAGCUAGAGUGUGUCAGAGGAUGGUGGAAUUCCCGGUGUAGCGGUGAAAUGCGUAGAGAUGUGGAGGAACACCAGUGGCGAAGGCGACUUUCUGGUCUGUAACUGACGCUGAGGCGCGAAAGCGUGGGGAGCAAACAGGA
rnacentral:rRNA from 1 species